rnacentral:rRNA from 1 species
UACGGACGGUGCGAGCGCUAAUCGGAAUUACUGGGCGUAAAGCGUGCGCAGGCGGUCUUUUAAGCCAGAUGUGAAAUCCCCGGGCUUAACCUGGGAACUGCGUUUGGAACUGGAAGGGUAGAGUACGGCAGACGGGGGUGGAAUUCCACGUGUAGCAGUGAAAUGCGUAGGGAUGUGGAGGAACACCGAUGGCGAACGCAGCCCCCUGGGCCUGUACUGACGCUCAUGCACGAAAGCGUGGGGAGCAAACAGG